UCUACCUGAUUAUGUUCUUUUCUAAUCAGUAAUCUUUGUUUUCUCUGUAACUGCUGAACCUUCGGUUCAUGUGGGAGUUUUGCAAGGAGGCACCAUCAACAAGAGUAUCCCUUUGCUUAUUUUCAUCAAUAAGAGAAAAAUCAAACCUUUGAAUGGUUUGCAAGUGAAGACAGUAAUUUCAAGAUCAAUCACUAGAAUUCAGGGCUGCAGAGAGAAGGAAAACUGCCUUGAGGCUAAUUCUCAUUUGAUUUCAUUUGGACUUGGAAAAACAAUAAUACUUUGAUUGCUUGGGCAAGGAUUGCUAUUUGGUGACAGAAACUAUCUUCAUUGUAGUGGAACGUACAGCCAACUAUAAUGGAGCAAUUGGACUGAAAGCUGGUGUGCAUCCUAAAGGCAAUUAGAUGCCAGGAUAUUGUUCUGUGACGCAGAAGGAAAAAGAAAAGAGGUCCUUGCUACCUUACCUUAGUGGAGGGCAUGUAUGCAGCAUUUAAAGACAAUUUCCAGGUUCCCCAAUCAAGUGUGUGUUUAUCACUUUCAUGCCAUUUUAUAAAAUCAGAAGUGAU